UACGUAGGGGGCUAGCGUUGUCCGGAAUCAUUGGGCGUAAAGAGCGUGUAGGCGGUCCGGUAAGUCCGCUGUGAAAGUCGGGGGCUCAACCCUCGAAUGCCGGUGGAUACUGUCGGGCUAGAGUGCGGAAGAGGCGAGUGGAAUCCUGGUGUAGCGGUGAAAUGCGCAGAUAUCAGGAGGAACACCUAUUGCGAAGGCAGCUCGCUGGGACGUAACUGACGCUGAGACGCGAAAGCGUGGGGAGCAACAGG
rnacentral:rRNA from 1 species